UUUUGAGGUCUGGCCUGCUCACUGACAAGUUUUAAAGAGCCGCGGUAUUUUGACCGUGCAAAGGUAGCAUAAUCAUUAGUCUCUUAAUUAGGGGCUGGAAUGAAUGGCUUGACGAGAAAUUAACUGUCUCUUAUUAAAUUAUAGAAUUUAACUUUUGAGUUAAAAGGCUUAAAUUUUUCUUAAAGACGAGAAGACCCUAUAGAGCUUGACAUUUUAUUUUAAUAUAAUUUUUAGAAAGUCUUUUUAUAUUUUAAGAUAAUGUUUUGUUGGGGUGACAUGAAGAAUAAAUAAACUCUUCAUUAUAAAAUCAUUGAUUUAUGUUUAUUUUGAUCCAUAAUUUAUGAUCAUAAGAUUAAGUUACCUUAGGGAUAACAGCGUAAUUGUUUUUGAGAGCUCAUAUUGACAAAGCAGAUUGCGACCUCGAUGUUGGAUUAAGAAUAAUUUUGGGUGCAGGAGCCCAAUAA
rnacentral:rRNA from 1 species